AUGAACGCUGGCGGCGUGCCUAAUACAUGCAAGUCGAGCGAACGGACGAGAAGCUUGCUUCUCUGAUGUUAGCGGCGGACGGGUGAGUAACACGUGGAUAACCUACCUAUAAGACUGGAAUAACUUCGGGAAACCGGAGCUAAUACCGGAUAAUAUUUUGAACCGCAUGGUUCAAAAGUGAAAGACGGUCUUGCUGUCACUUAUAGAUGGAUCCGCGCUGCAUUAGCUAGUUGGUAAGGUAACGGCUUACCAAGGCAACGAUGCAUAGCCGACCUGAGAGGGUGAUCGGCCACACUGGAACUGAGACACGGUCCAGACUCCUACGAGAGGCAGCAGUAGGGAAUCUUCCGCAAUGGGCGAAAGCCUGACGGAGCAACGCCGCGUGAGUGAUGAAGGUCUUCGGAUCGUAAAACUCUGUUAUUAGGGAAGAACAUAUGUGUAAGUAACUGUGCACAUCUUGACGGUACCUAAUCAGAAAGCCACGGCUAACUACGUG
rnacentral:rRNA from 1 species